rnacentral:rRNA from 1 species
AUUGAACGCUGGCGGCAUGCCUUACACAUGCAAGUCGAACGGCAGCACGGGAGCAAUCCUGGUGGCGAGUGGCGAACGGGUGAGUAAUGUAUCGGAACGUGCCCAGUCGUGGGGGAUAACGUAGCGAAAGCUACGCUAAUACCGCAUACGAUCUAUGGAUGAAAGCGGGGGAUCGCAAGACCUCGCGCGAUUGGAGCGGCCGAUAUCAGAUUAGGUAGUUGGUGGGGUAAAGGCCCACCAAGCCUGCGAUCUGUAGCUGGUCUGAGAGGACGACCAGCCACACUGGAGCUGAGACACGGUCCAGAGUCCUACGGGAGGCAGCAGUGGUGAAUUUUGGACAAUGGGCGCAAGCCUGAUCCAGCAAUGCCGCGUGCAGGAUGAAGGCCUUCGGGUUGUAAACUGCUUUUGUACGGAACGAAACGGCUUUUUCUAAUACAGAGAGCUAAUGACGGUACCGUAAGAAUAAGCACCGGCUAACUACGUGCCAGCAGCCGCAGUAA